CCUACGGGAGGCAGCAGUGGGGAAUAUUGGGCAAUGGGCGCAAGCCUGACCCAGCAACGCCGCGUGAAGGAAGGAGGCUUUCGGGUUGUAAACUUCUUUUAAGAGGGAAGAGCAGAAGACGGUACCUCUUGAAUAAGCCACGGCUAACUACGUGCCAGCAGCCGCGGUAAUACGUAGGUGGCAAGCGUUGUCCGGAUUUACUGGGUGUAAAGGGCGUGUAGCCGGGCUGACAAGUCAGAUGUGAAAUUCCGGGGCUCAACCCCGGACCUGCAUUUGAAACUGUUGGUCUUGAGUAUCGGAGAGGCAGGCGGAAUUCCUAGUGUAGCGGUGAAAUGCGUAGAUAUUAGGAGGAACACCAGUGGCGAAGGCGGAUGACUGGACGGCAACUGACGGUGAGGCGCGAAAGCGUGGGGAGCAAACAGGAUUAGAUACCCUAGUAGUC
rnacentral:rRNA from 1 species